rnacentral:rRNA from 1 species
GGUUGCGAUCAUACCAGCACUAAUGCACCGGAUCCCAUCAGAACUCUGCAGUUAAGCGUGCUUGGGCGAGAGUAGUACUAGGAUGGGUGACCCCCUGGGAAGUCCUCGUGUUGCAACCCC